rnacentral:rRNA from 1 species
UACGGAGGGUGCAAGCGUUGUCCGGAAUCACUGGGCGUAAAGGGCGCGUAGGCGGCUCAUGAAGGCUGUGGUGAAAGUCCGGGGCUCAACCUCGGAUCGGCCGUGGCGACUCGUGGGCUGGAGCACUGUAGAGGCGGGUGGAAUUCCGGGUGUAGCGGUGGAAUGCGCAGAUAUCAGGAGGAACACCAAUGGCGAAGGCAGCUCUCUGGUACGUGACUGACGCUGAGACGCGAAAGCGUGGGGAGCGAACAGG